GCCAGGCUCUGGGGAAACACCAAGAAUGGCACGGAGGCCCAAGGCUGUGCCCAUCCCUGUGGCCAGGAAGGACCCAACCUUGAUUAGAAAUCUGCUCCAUGUCAGACACAGUUAAUCAGAAUGAAAAAGCAUGGAGCUUCUUUGCUGGUGGGCCCACUUUCAACAGGGGAAAGAAAUUAAGAUACAUGGGCUGCAAAUCCUAAAACCUACAGGGGCCUGCAUCAUGGAUUCAAAACAAGAUGGUCCGUGGGCUAUCAGUUCGGCACCUCCAGGCAGAUGCGUGGCUUGUGGGAAAGUUGAGCCAAAGCCAGGUCCUUGGAUCUCUGGCAGGGUGGACACAGUCUGGUCUCCUCUGACUAGAGUGAAGAUUGGUGAGUGUGAAACCUGAUUGGUCAGCCUCUGUGGAGGGCAAUCUGGCAAGACGUGGAAAAGUGCAAGUCCUUCAACCCAGCAGCUCUACUUGUAAGAAUUCAUCCUGAAGAAAUAAUUCAGGACUAGAAAGGCAAACUGUUGAUGACCUCGUCCAAGCACUGUUUAUAACGGCAGAAAAUAGAACCAAAGUGAAGAUCCUGUGAUCACCUGUGGUUCCUGAGUUAGAUUGUGGUGCAUCGAAUAACAUUCAAACUAGGGAGACUUUAACAAAUAGGAAUGAGUUUUCACAAGCAUCUUUUUUAAAAGCAUGAGUGAAAUGCAUUUGUCGUAACAACA